rnacentral:rRNA from 1 species
CGUAGGGCGCGGGCGUUGUCCGGAAUUAUUGGGCGUAAAGAGCUCGUAGGCGGUUUGUCGCGUCGGAUGUGAAAGCCCACGGCUUAACUGUGGGUCUGCAUUCGAUACGGGCAGACUAGAGGCAGGUAGGGGAGCAUGGAAUUCCCGGUGUAGCGGUGAAAUGCGCAGAUAUCGGGAGGAACACCGGUGGCGAAGGCGGUGCUCUGGGCCUUGCCUGACGCUGAGGAGCGAAAGCGUGGGGAGCGAACAGGAUU